AGACUUUCCUUAUUUCUUUUUGUUAAUGACUCUCAUAUAAAGAAACAGCUGAAGCAAGUUGUCUAAACACAGAGAGAAACUCCUGCUGAAGCGACUGAUCUCCACACUGUUAUAAAGAUGGCGUUAAUUAAAGAGGAGAGUGAAGAUGUGAAGAUUGAAGAAACAAUUACAGUCAAACAGGAAGAUCUGCAGGA
rnacentral:lncRNA from 1 species